GCGGCGUAGAAGGAGAGUUCUUAAGCAGCUGUCGUUGGUGUGCGCGUCCGUUCAUGGGGGAGCUUGCCUGCGUUGCCAGGGGUGGUCGUACUACAGUCUGCCAACGUACGCCGGCGACGUACUGGGCCUAGGCGUGGUGUGCAAGUGCAGGUGGAUUUUGGUCGUCCCGUACGACUUUGCCAUGGCGGAUCCGCUGGCCGCCGGGAACGCCACCGAUGGGAACGCCAUGAGGGCGGGUUUCUCGGUGAGACGGAAGUCUGACGCCGGCUGGUGCAGCGAGUGGAGGCCUCGGGAGGCUUCUGCUCCGACCCUCAGUCUAGCGGGUCGUGUCCUACUUUUUCGUCAGGUUCAGGCGGGAUGAGCGCGAGCAGCCGCGGGACAUGGACUCAAGCCAACACAGGUUCAUGGCGGAGCAGCUCACCUGUUGGUCUCCACUUCGUAGUCGGCAGCAGCUGCCUCACCAAUUGAUGUGGUCUUUUUAUUCCUUCCCAGAUCCAUUUUUUUCACACAGACCUCAAUAGAAGUUGGGGAUCAAGAAAUUGACCGCUUCGAAGUACUGAGCAUGCCUAUUCUUUCUUAUGCAUGAGGGUAUGAAACAUGUUUUUGUUGUGAAUUCUUGCAGCACAGGGGAUUUUUUGUGGUCAAGUGGUCAACCCAUCAGCCAAUGCCGUCAAGAUCUUCAUUGAGUGUGCUUGUGCUUUUUUUGGAAGAUGCCAGGCAGUAGCGCUGCUUCAGUAUAUUAAGAGAAGAUUUACAAAAUCUGAAGAUGUCAAGUAGUUCCUGUGAAAUGACUUUGGGAAUGGGGUGGUUCACCGGGAUAAUUAGUGGUAGCACCUCAUGCUGACAGGGAGUGCACGAUCCAGGGUGGGUGCAGAUGAGCUCGGGAGCAGAAACGUCGCACUCCUGACUGACCCAACUUGCCAUUUCAUUCUCAUGCUAUUAGAUCGGGUGCUCAUGCACAACGGUUACUUCUCUUAAGGAUUAUCAGAUAGAACCGGAUGCCACCACUUUGCAGUGUCCGAUUUAUGUUGGUGAGCUGGCCCAUGUUGUUCAUGGAAUGGCUUGAUGUGAAAGGAAAUGGGCCCAUAGGUCGAGAAGAGAAGCUUUCAUUGAGCAUAAGUGUGGUGUUGUUGGAAUUUCUUAUAUUAGUUAGAUAUUCAGAUAGCCUUUGUUUCGAGGUUAGAUAGUCUUAUUAUGAUAAUCAAGUAUGACAUUAUGACAUUCUAUGAGGACUACGUUUAGGCACAUAAAUUAUGAAGCAAUUAUUCCUUCUUGAGAGACGCUGUUUUUCCAGAAAAAUACUACUAUGAGUUCAGAAUUUUAGCAAAACAUUCAAGUUGUCAUCUUGAGAUUAGUUGUUAACUAGCAUUUGAAGGCAUGUGACAAACAACGAGACUAAUGGG